rnacentral:tRNA from 1 species
GCGGACGUGGCGAAAUUGGCAGACGCACCAGACUUAGGAUCUGGCGGGUAACACCGUGAGAGUUCGACUCUCUCCGUCCGCA